CAGUUUAUUAUCAAUUCACAAUUAAAGCAGCAUGCAAUUUAUUAUUUUUUUUAACUUUUUAUGUUUUCAGUUCUUGGCAACGGCAACAAACCACAACAUUAUCAAGGAAUGUAAUGCAGACUUUUUAAGUUGUGCGCAAAUGACUGUUUCCCUUCUGGUCAUGGACAUGUCCAAUAAAUAGAUUGUAGAACCACUGUACUGUAUAAACUUCAUUUAUACAUGCAGUUCAUAAAAUUAUUUUUUUCUUAACUGAAUAAUUUACCCUGUUAUGUAUAUAUACAAAUAGAUAAUUUUUGUCUCAAUAUAAUCUAAUCUAUACAACAUAAAUCCACUAUCUUCCCCUUUUAAUGGUCAAUGUACAUACACAAGAAGUGUCUAUCCUUAUGAAUCGCCAGCCAAUUCUCUUUUUGCUAUCCAUGGUAAGGGCCCGCACGUACGACUGGGUAGUUCGGCACUGGGAGUUCCAAUGCCUUUUGUCUAUGCCCCUGCAGCCUUCUUUUGUGUAACCCAUGGGAUUGCACUUGGUCUCGUAGAAGUAUUGCUUCAGUUGGCCUUUUGAUACAGGGACCUUUUCAAGGACUGUGACCGUCCCGCCCGACAUGUCCACUGCAGUCUUUUUGUCUGCCGCCGUUACCCACUCACUAAUACUGUCACACACGCUCAGCUCCCCUCGGCGGGCAGGGUCAGAGUGGCGCCGGACCCUCAUGGACAUGUUUGCAGCAUCUAGGUAAUUUUUGUAUUCCUCCAGCAGAAAGAGAAGAGGAGGCUCCAAAGGCACUUGACUACUGAGCAUCACCCUGGACGUGUACAAGUCUGCGUCCUUAUUGUUUUCUUCAUUGGGCCGAACUUUCUGGUCCUCAUCCAACAGCUCUUCUAUCACGUGUUCGAAAGUGUCAGCCAAUGAUGUCAAGCCUCUUGAACCUGCCUUGGGCCCAUUCACGCUCUCCAGAGUCCCAUGGGUCCGCACACCUGGAGAUACUCUAUUAUAGCAAAGAAGAAAGAUAAUUUCAUUGAGCCAUCCUGUUUUACAGCACCCAACAGAAUCCCUUCAAAGCCUCGUGGUCUGACACCCUAUGCUACGUGACUUGUGACCCAUCCAUUUGUCAUGUUCUUCGGGAAUGUGGCUAAGGGGCUAAGAUGUGACUUGAAAAGAAAGGUAGAACAAGAUCAUCUCAAAUUUAUUAUCAAGGAAUAGUUCAGAAAACGACUUCAGACCACAGAGACAGCAGAACAGAUGGUCCGGCAUGGAUAGAGCAUCAGACACUCACAGACUGUGCCAACAAGAGCCAUCGAGUCAAAACAGCCAAAGGAAGGAGGGUCAUGGAAUGGGUUCUCUCACACCAAACUGAUGCCCAGAGGCCCUCAGCAUGAAUAACAAAGGCAACCAGACCCACAAGCCAUACUGAGUGGAUACAAAACCUAUACCUAGGCUGACAUCCCAAAUGUGUGUGGCAAGUUAGAUGAUGAUGGCACAAAAGACAGAACACCUUGCUUCUGGCCAUUGUCAGCUCUUGGAAGAGAGCACACUUUUAGAGGAGCAGCUGCAAGGAGCCUGAGAACAAAACUGGAAAUGUCUGUUAUGAAAGCCUUCACAGGAAAUUCUGCAAGUGGCAACGUGGGUCCAUUCCGUGUGUGUCACUAGAGCUGGCGCAAGCCCAUGGCCAUGGUGAGGCAGCGUUUCCACUGGAACUAAUCUGAUACCUGCACCAGCUCUUGCAACUGUGCAGUGUUCCCACUGCAAACUACGGAUGGGGUAAAAGACUGCUCACCUCCUAUUUCUCAUCUAAUCUCACACACUCUGUUUGAUGAGGCUAUGGAGAAACAGGUCUUCUCAUACACUAAAGGUGGGAGUACAAACAAUUCAAGCCCUGUGCAGGACAAUUAGGCAAUACCUAUCAAAAUUAUACAUGAUUUUUCCUGCUGACCCAGCAAUUCCACUUCUGGGAAUAAUUGACAGAUAUAGGUGCAUAUGUACAAAAUGAUGGAAAGCUCUCUGGUAUAUAUUAGUAAGUGAUAAAACAAGGUGUAAAAUAGUGUAUAUAUGGCUACUACCUUUUGUUUUAAAAAUGGGGGAAAAUGGUGGAGCUUGCGGUGAGCCGAGAUCGUGCCACUGCACUCCAGCCUGGGCGACAGAGCGAGACUCCGUCUCAAAAAAAAAACAGGGUGGGGUGGGGGGGAAAUAAUAGUACAUACUCAUAUUUACCUGUAUCUAUAUAAAACACACUAUCAAGGAUUCACAAGAAACUAAUACAAAUGAUCACCUUAUAGAUGGUAUGUAUUGGGGGAUACUGAGGUGAGCAGGGUAUAAGUGGGGCAAGACUUUUCAGUGUAAACUUCUUUUAAAUUUUAUUUUGAUUUUUGAAUAAUGUAAAUUAACUGUCA
rnacentral:lncRNA from 1 species